GAGCGAGCGAAGAGCGAAAGACAGCGAGAGAAAGCGCGAGCGAGUGAACGACGGUCGAUAUAAUGUCGAACAUAGUCGAAUCGUGACGGAACUGACCGAAGUUCAUGGACUCUCCCCUUACCGCAAAAAUCAGCUACCCCUCUUAAAAGGCUCCGUCUACGUUAGUCUAUGGUCACAACAGCCUUUUUGGACAAAAACAUAGUCUACGUCCACUCCGGAAGACUUGUCCAAAAUCCGACCAAUCGCGCUCGUCUCUUGUGGAGUGCCGCUUGGCGGUCAAUUGUCUAGUUUACACCGAGCACUUGGUACGCGUAUCAAAUAGUAAAUAACUAGUGAAUGUGUUUAAUCAUUGGCUGAUCAGCUUAAAUUCACUACUUGAUACCACAGUUUAGCUAUAACCAGUUACGACAGUCAGCGAAAUUCUUCGUAUAAUAUUUUACGACGCAUGCGUCAACUGUACUAUCUAAAAUAUGGCGGACAUGGCGAGCCACGCGGUACGAAGCUAUGAGCUAGACAUGUGAUAAUUGCGUGUUAGAGGUUAUAUUGUGUGAAUAAUUUUUCAGUGAUAUUAAGCGAUAUUAAUUAGGUAACAUAAACAUCAAAGGUUCCGACUGUACUGUCGUAACUGGUUAUAGCUAAACUGUGACUGUGAUGAUACGCGUACUAAGGCCGGUAUUCAUAGUCAAAUCUUAUUUUAAGAUCAUCUCAAGUAAUGUCUUAAGAUGCUAAUACGGCUCUGUGAUUGGUUGAUGGCAUCUUAAGACUGUACUUAAGAUGAUCUUAAAUAUAAGAAUCGACUAUGAAUACCGGCCUAAGACCCGGUUCCACAACUCACGGUUAACUGCUAACGGGAGAUUAAUCGACUACCUAUCUUUCUCUGUAUUAAUGGCUUAGUUUACAUCGUCAAAACCUUAGUACGCGUAUUAAGUUUGGUGCGCACCAAAGCCUUAGUACGGGCGCGUUUACAUCGAAUGUACUAAGCA